rnacentral:rRNA from 1 species
ACUGGGGGGAGAUCAUUG